rnacentral:rRNA from 1 species
UACGUAGAGAGCAAGCGUUGUCCGGAAUCAUUGGGCGUAAAGGGUACGCAGGCGGUCUAUUAAGUCAGAGGUGAAAUCCAACAGCUCAACUGUUGAACCGCCUUUGAUACUGGUAGACUUGAGGAUAAGAGAAGAAAACGGAAUUCCUAGUGUAGCGGUGAAAUGCGUAGAUAUUAGGAAGAAUACCGAUGGCGAAAGCAGUUUUCUAACUUAUUCCUGACGCUCAGGUACGAAAGCUAGGGUAGCAAACGGG